rnacentral:lncRNA from 1 species
GGAAAAUAGUGACUUGUUCUCUGGAAGUGCCUGUGUCUCACCACUGACUGCUCAGAGAGCCUGAGUGCUGAGCUGAGAUCAGACACCUGCCUCCUGUGUUCUUUGGGUGAGAUAAUACCUUUCUAUGUGGACUUAACUGAUACUAUGAUAUACAAAAUCCCUCCCCACAUAAAGCGAAGAGCCCUCUCAUGGUAACGUUAGAAUAGCAGCUGGAGACAACCUGCUGCACUUUGCUUCUCUGUGAGACAACCAUCAGUAAAGCCAAGCAGCAAGAAAA